UCCCUGUAUAUAGCUGCACAUUGAUCUGGUACUCCAUGUAUAUAGCUCCACAUUGGUCUGGUACUGGUACUCCCUGUAUAUAGCUCCACAUUGAUCUGGUACUUGUACUCCCUGUAUAUACGUAGCUGGUCAUCGAUCUGGUUCUCCCUGUAUAUAGCUCCACAUUGAUCUGGUACUCCCUGUAUAUAGCUGCACAUUGAUCUGGUACUCCCUGUAUAUAGCUGCACAUUGAUCUGGUACUGGUACUCCCUGUAUAUACAUAGCUGCUCAUUGAUCUGGUACUCCCUGUAUAUACCUCCACAUUGAUCUGGUACACCCUAUAUAUAGCUCCACAUUGAUCUGGUACUUCCUAUAUAUUACUCCACAUUGAUCUGGUUCUCCCUGUAUAUAGCUGCUCAUUGAUCUGGUACUCCCUGUAUAUAGCUGCUCAUUGAUCUGGUACUGCCUGUAUAUAGCUGCUCAUUGAUCUGGUACUCCCUGUAUAUAGCUGCUCAUUGAUCUGGUACUCCCUGUACAAACUGUAGCUUCAUUCUUACCCAUUUUAUUUUAUUCCUCGAGUUAGUUACUAUUUUUUUUUUUUAUUAUUAUUUUUAAACUGCAUCGUUGGGAAAGGUUGGUAAGUAAGCAUUUUACUGUCAAGUUGUAUUCGGUGCAUGUGAUAAAUAAAAUUUGAUUUUCACAAAAUAAUUCCAGCAUCCAAACAGUGCACCCACAAUUUGGAGAAUAGAAAGAGUUACUCAAUUGUAGUCAUUAGGCCCAGGACACUUGUUGCCUGAAUUGAUGCAUCCACUUUUGUACGUGCCGCUUUGGCAACAUUUUAGUGUUCUCGUGGAAUUACAAUGCAAUUUUGAGGGUUUACUGACAGUUUUCAAGUGAAUUCACAAAUUUUCAUGCAGCUGACAUGCGGUAUUGUUAAAUAAUGGUGUAAUUGCCUCUAGUUUUCUUGGAAUUUCUUAGAAAUGAUUGUGAUAGGUUCACAUUUUACCGGUACGGUGUACCCCCACUAUUUAUUUCCGGGUCGCGGUACCAGAGCGUACCGGCU
rnacentral:lncRNA from 1 species